rnacentral:rRNA from 1 species
UACGGGGGGUGCAAGCGUUGCUCGGAAUUAUUGGGCGUAAAGAGUACGCAGGCGGCUUGGCAAGUCGAGUGUGAAAUCCCGGGGCUCAACCCCGGACUGGCAUUCGAAACUGCUGAGCUUGAGUGCGGGAGAGGGAAGCGGAAUUCCUGGUGUAGAGGUGAAAUUCGUAGAUAUCAGGAGGAACACCGGUGGCGAAAGCGGCUUCCUGGCCCGAUACUGACGCUCAUGUACGAAAGCGUGGGGAGUAAACAGG